rnacentral:rRNA from 1 species
AGUGAACGCUGGCGGUAGGCCUAACACAUGCAAGUCGAACGGCAGCACAGUAAGAGCUUGCUCUUACGGGUGGCGAGUGGCGGACGAGUGAGGAAUACAUCGGAAUCUACUUUUUCGUGGGGGAUAACGUAGGGAAACUUACGCUAAUACCGCAUACGACCUACGGGUGAAAGCAGGGGAUCUUCGGAUCUUGCGCGAUUGAAUGAGCCGAUGUCGGAUUAGCUAGUUGGCGGGGUAAAGGCCCACCAAGGCGACGAUCCGUAGCUGGUCUGAGAGGAUGAUCAGCCACACUGGAACUGAGACACGGUCCAGACUCCUACGGGAGGCAGCAGUGGGGAAUAUUGGACAAUGGGCGCAAGCCUGAUCCAGCCAUACCGCGUGGGUGAAGAAGGCCUUCGGGUUGUAAAGCCCUUUUGUUGGGAAAGAAAAGCAGCAGGUUAAUACCCCGCUGUUCUGACGGUACCCAAAGAAUAAGCACCGGCUAACUUCGUG